rnacentral:rRNA from 1 species
GACGAACGCUGGCGGCGUGCUUAACACAUGCAAGUCGAACGGAAAGGCCCUGCUUUUGUGGGGUGCUCGAGUGGCGAACGGGUGAGUAACACGUGAGUAACCUGCCCUUGACUUUGGGAUAACUUCAGGAAACUGGGGCUAAUACCGGAUAGGAGCUCCCGCUGCAUGGUGGGGGUUGGAAAGUUUCGGCGGUUGGGGAUGGACUCGCGGCUUAUCAGCUUGUUGGUGGGGUAGUGGCUUACCAAGGGUUUGACGGGUAGCCGGCCUGAGAGGGUGACCGGCCACAUUGGGACUGAGAUACGGCCCAGACUCCUACGGGAGGCAGCAGUGGGGAAUAUUGCACAAUGGGCGGAAGCCUGAUGCAGCAACGCCGCGUGCGGGAUGACGGCCUUCGGGUUGUAAACCGCUUUCGCCUGUGACGAAGCGUGAGUGACGGUAAUGGGUAAAGAAGCACCGGCUAACUACGUG